rnacentral:rRNA from 1 species
GAUCCUGGCUCAGAGCGAACGCUGGCGGCAGGCUUAACACAUGCAAGUCGAGCGGGCGUAGCAAUACGUCAGCGGCAGACGGGUGAGUAACGCGUGGGAACGUACCUUUUGGUUCGGAACAACACAGGGAAACUUGUGCUAAUACCGGAUAAGCCCUUACGGGGAAAGAUUUAUCGCCGAAAGAUCGGCCCGCGUCUGAUUAGCUAGUUGGUGAGGUAAUGGCUCACCAAGGCGACGAUCAGUAGCUGGUCUGAGAGGAUGAUCAGCCACAUUGGGACUGAGGCACGGCCCAAACUCCUACGGGAGGCAGCAGUGGGGAAUAUUGGACAAUGGGGGCAACCCUGAUCCAGCCAUGCCGCGUGAGUGAUGAAGGCCCUAGGGUUGUAAAGUUCUUUUGUGCGGGAAGAUAAUGACG